rnacentral:rRNA from 1 species
CCUAAGGCGAGGUCGAAAGACGUAGUCGAUGGAUAACAGGUUGAAAUUCCUGUACCGCAUAUAAACAGAACUGUGGGGACACAGACAGGGAAUGGAAUCCGGGAAUGGAGAUCCCGGUGCAAGCGAGGUAGGAGUAUCGUUGGCAAAUCCGCGAUACUGAUCUGAAGACGUGACGCGUACCGAACAUAAGUAGGGAAGUCCAGGCCCCUGGCUGUCAAGAAAAGCCGCUAUCGUUUUAUAUGUGCCCGUACCGCAAACCGACACAGGUGGAUGAGGAGAGAAUCCUAAGGCCGACGGGAGAAGUAUUGUUAAGGAACUCGGCAAAAUGACUCCGUAACUUCGGGAGAAGGAGUGCCAUGAGAGUGGCCGCAGAGAAAUGGCCCAAGCAACUGUUUAGCAAAAACACAGGUCUAUGCAAAACCGCAAGGUGAAGUAUAUGGGCUGACGCCUGCCCGGUGCUGGAAGGUUAAGGGGAGAGGUUAGCGCAAGCGAAGCUUUGAACUUAAGCCCCAGUAAACGGCGGCCGUAACUAUAACGGUCCUAAGGUAGCGAAAUUCCUUGUCGGGUAAGUUCCGACCCGCACGAAAGGCGUAAUGAUUUGGGCACUGUCUCAACGAUACACCCGGUGAAAUUGAAAUACCAGUGAAGAUGCUGGUUACCUGCGCCAGGACGGAAAGACCCCAUGGAGCUUUACUCCAGUUUGAUACUGGGAUUCGGCAUGGUAUGUACAGGAUAGGUGGGAGACUGAGAUGGUAUGGCGUCAGCUGUACCGGAGUCGCUGUUGGGAUACCACCCUUACCAUGUUGGAUUUCUAACCUGUGGCCGUGAACCGGUCAGGGGACAAUGUCAGGCGGGGAGUUUGACUGGGGCGGUCGCCUCCGAAAGGGUAUCGGAGGCGCUCAAAGGUUCCCUCAGAAUGGUUGGAAACCAUUCGAAGAGUGCAAAGGCAGAAGGGAGCUUGACUGCGACACCGACGGGUGGAGCAGGUACGAAAGUAGGACUUAGUGAUCCGGUGGUAUAAAGUGGGAUUGCCAUCGCUCAACGGAUAAAAGCUACCCUGGGGAUAACAGGCUUAUCACUCCCAAGAGUUCACAUCGACGGAGUGGUUUGGCACCUCGAUGUCGGCUCAUCGCAUCCUGGAGCUGUAGCAGGUUCCAAGGGUUGGGCUGUUCGCCCAUUAAAGCGGUACGCGAGCUGGGUUCAGAACGUCGUGAGACAGUUCGGUCCCUAUCCGGCGCAGGCGGAGGAAAUUUGAUAGGAGCUGUCCUUAGUACGAGAGGACCGGGAUGGACGGACCGCUGGUGUAUCUGUUGUACUGCCAAGUGCAUAGCAGAGUAGCCAAGUCUGGAAGGGAUAAACGCUGAAGGCAUCUAAGCGUGAAGCCCCCCUAAAGAUAAGAUUUCCCAUACCGUAAGGUAGUAAGACCCCUUGAAGACGACGAGGUAGAUAGGGCAGAGGUGGAAGUACGGUAACGUAUGGAGCUGACUGUUACUAAUCGGUCGAGGCUUUAACCAA